rnacentral:rRNA from 1 species
UACGGGGGGAGCAAGCGUUGUUCGGAUUUACUGGGCGUAAAGGGCGCGUAGGCGGCCACCGCAAGUCGGUUGUGAAAUCUCCGGGCUUAACCCGGAAAGGUCAAUCGAUACUGCGGGGCUAGAGUGCAGAAGGGGCAACUGGAAUUCUCGGUGUAGCGGUGAAAUGCGUAGAUAUCGAGAGGAACACCUGCGGCGAAGGCGCCUCACUGGCCGGUUACUGACACUGAGCUGCGAAAGCAAGGGGAGCAAACAGG